rnacentral:lncRNA from 1 species
AGUGGUAAUUCAAAAAUUAUGCAUUGCCUUCACAUUUUACCAAUUACACUUGGCUCCAAACAGCAUUUGAAAUGAUUCCAAGGGCAAAUUCGAGCACUGUUCCAUUGGCAUGCAUUACAUGAGGGUGAAUUGACAAAUUGGCAUUACACUUCCAUUUCACUAAUCCAUUUGCAUUUGGCUUAAUUGUGAUUAGCAACAUCAUUAGCACACCAUAUAAAAGCUAAAGCAUAACUGUUUU